CUGGCUGCUAUGUCGAGCAGUCUGCCCAGGGCCAGAUGUUAACAAGUGACAAAUCCCUCCUAGAGAAAGACAACACACCUUUCCAUCCUCGUCACUGGACAGCGGCUCCCGCCCGGCGCUUGUGGACGUUUUUGGUGCGUCAAGAAGCAGUUCAAGAUAUGUUCAUCCGCUACAUAUUCGGGAAACGACAAUGACCACUGGCUCUAUCAUGGGUGACAAUUCUGAUGACAAGACUCGAAUCCGGAACUACUACUAACAAUCCUCCUGAGCUCGUUCGAUUAUUCACAAAGAGCAGGACUCAAUAUCAGCGUUCUGUCUCAAUCAGGGAACCGGAAUCACUUCCUGCUAGUAGCUUCUUAGUUAUACAAACUGCCCAGGACAAAAUUUCCCAAGUUUCACCAAACAGCAUUCACUCCAACUCAAGUCCGCAAACAGGUCUUGGAGGUCAAACAGGAAGAGGGGCUCAGUGGUGA
rnacentral:lncRNA from 1 species